rnacentral:rRNA from 1 species
GACGAACGCUGGCGGCGUGCCUAAUACAUGCAAGUUGAGCGCUGAAGGUUGGUACUUGUACCGACUGGAUGAGCAGCGAACGGGUGAGUAACGCGUGGGGAAUCUGCCUUUGAGCGGGGGACAACAUUUGGAAACGAAUGCUAAUACCGCAUAAAAACUUUAAACACAAGUUUUAAGUUUGAAAGAUGCAAUUGCAUCACUCAAAGAUGAUCCCGCGUUGUAUUAGCUAGUUGGUGAGGUAAAGGCUCACCAAGGCGAUGAUACAUAGCCGACCUGAGAGGGUGAUCGGCCACAUUGGGACUGAGACACGGCCCAAACUCCUACGGGAGGCAGCAGUAGGGAAUCUUCGGCAAUGGACGAAAGUCUGACCGAGCAACGCCGCGUGAGUGAAGAAGGUUUUCGGAUCGUAAAACUCUGUUGGUAGAGAAGAACGUUGGUGAGAGUGGAAAGCUCAUCAAGUGACGGUAACUACCCAGAAAGGGACGGCGAACUACGU